rnacentral:misc_RNA from 1 species
CUGGAUUAGAGCUUCAACUUUCCUACACUCUUCGUCAGCAGAAUCCUGUUGGAUAUACUGUGCCUAUCCAGCUUCCUGUGAUUAAUCAAGUAUUCAGUAGUAACCGUGCUGUAAAAAUAUCACCCAACUGUCCAGUGGCAAGAAUACGGCCUUUUGCUGGAAAAUAUAUGCCUGGAGAGGUGGUUGCUGUUCGAGUUCCACUUCUUCAUCUCUCUAAUUUCCAAAUUAAUGAUUGGCCUGAGCUUUCUACCAAACGCUAUGCUUUGAUGGUUUUAAUGCUUCCCUCAGAUAGUGCAAGGCAGUGGCAUGCUUAUGAGUUGGAGCUUGUUGAAGUAGUUGCUGACCAGGUGGCUGUUGCUCUAUCACAUGCUGCUAUCUUAGAAGAGUCGAUGAGGGCAAGGGAUCUUCUUAUGGAGCAGAAUGUUGCACUUGAUCUUGCAAGGAGAGAAGCAGAAACAGCUAUCCGUGCUCGUAAUGAUUUCUUAGCUGUCAUGAACCAUGAAAUGAGAACUCCCAUGCAUGCAAUUAUUGCACUUUCUU